rnacentral:ncRNA from 1 species
UUAUCGCUCAUGAAUGACGCAAUCUCUCUUUUCAUACCGUUCCAUAAUGACAUGUGAGGUGUAGGAUAAGUGGGAGCCCUUGGGCGAAGGUGAAAUACCACUACUUAUAACAUUAUUUUACUUAUUCUGUGAAUCUGAGGCGAGGCAUCGCCCCUAUUUUUGGAUCCAAGGCCUGUUCGCGUGUCGAUCUGGGCAUAAGACAUUGUGAGGGAGGGAGUUUGGCUGGGGUGGCACAUCUGUGAAAAGAUAAUGCAGGUGUCCUAAGAUGAGCUCAACGAGAACAGAAAUCUCGUAUGGAACAAAAGGGUAACAACUCGUUUGAUUUUGAUUUUCAGUAUGAAUACGAACCAUGAAAGCUUGGCCUAUCGAUCCUUUAGACCUUCAAAAUUUGAAGUUAGAGGUGUCAGAAAGGUUACCACACGGAUAACCAGCUUAUGGCAACCAACCGUUCAUAGCGACCUUUCUUUUUGAUCCUUUGAUGUCGACUCUUCCUAUCAUUGUGAAGCAUAAUUCACCAAGUGUUGGAUUGUUCACCCACCAAUAGGGAACUUGAGCUUGGUUUAGACCAUCAUGAAACAUGUUAAUUUAACCAUACUGAUGACAGUGUCGCAAUAGUAAUCCAACAUAAUACUGGAGGAACCGUUGAUUCGCACAAUUGGUCAUCGUGCUUGGUUGAAAAGCCAGUGGCGCGAAGCAACUGUGCUUUGGGACCUCUAAGUUAGAAUCAGGGCUAAAAUAGAUACACGCGCCCACUGCCCGAUUUCCAACCAGCAGUAGGGGCCUCAUGGUCCCCAAAGUCACAUGUCGUUGGCAAAGCACUCGCGGUGGAUAAGCCGUUCAUGUUACCUUAAAUGACAAUUCCUAUCAAUCAGUGGGUAGAAUCCUUUGUAGACGAGUUAAAUACGCGAUGGGGUAUUGUAAGUGACAGAGUGGCCUUUCUACCAAGAUCCACUGAGAUUCAGCUCUCUGUCGCUCCGAUUU